GCACUAGUAUAUACCCCUCACCCUUCACUGACCCUGGCUGCAUCUCCUGCUGAAACUCUCUCUUCCUCCUCUCUCAAAUCCUCUUCAUACAGGAAUGGGUAUGAAGUGAGUUCUCUUCCACUGAUCUUGGUCACGUACUCCAAGACUUUCUUCUUGCUGGUUUCAGCAUGGGCCCUUGGACCCCACAGGAACUCAUAGCAUGCAGGAUCACUUCUGGGCACCUGCCAGUACUCCAGUGCUCCUCUAGGGCCUCCUUGGGUUCCUGUCCUCCUGGUCAGCCGGUCCCCUGAGAAUCUGAAGAGAAGUGAGACAGCUCCUGAGGUUACAGCCAGCCAGCAGAGGCCAAGGCUCCAACACUGAUGGGCCUGAAUCCUGCCCCUUUGCUGGCCUGAGAAAAUCUCAGAUCAAGAGCUCAUAUCCCUGAUAUGGAACAGAAGGGCAUGAGGGGACCCACAUCUGGCCACACCUGCUCAAGGCUUCACAGCAAGGACAGUAAGAGGUGGCCAUAUUCAGGGUGGAAGUUCCAAAGUCCUCCUGUGGGUUAUUCAUCUUUACUCCUGCCGGGACCUGCCGGUCCUCAACCCUCAGCCCCGUGAGAGCCUGGGUCCACUUCCCUCUGCCGAUCUCAAGCCGCCCCUCAGACCGAGACCCUCGCUUCUCUGACCCCUAGGCGUCGCAGCCGGCCACCAAGCCUGGGGCUUCCUCGGGUUGACUGCAGGUGUCGUACCGGAUUCUGCUAUGAGUGGGGGUGGAAAUGGGGGUGGGGGUCGUG
rnacentral:lncRNA from 1 species